CUUUAUUUGUGAAUUAAUGCUAACAUGGUUUCAUGUUAAGAUAAGUAGGAAACUAUCCUAGUGUCUUAACAAUUUUUCAAUCCGAUCACAUGGAGAAAAGUGUUAGCCUCCGUUUUGGAAAAUACACCCUCAUUUUAUAUAUAUACAUAUA